rnacentral:rRNA from 1 species
GACGAACGCUUGCGGCGUGCUUAACACAUGCAAGUCGAACGGAAAGGCCCUGCUUUUGUGGGGUGCUCGAGUGGCGAGCGGGUGAGUAACACGUGAGUAACCUGCCCUUGACUUUGGGAUAACUUCAGGAAACUGGGGCUAAUACCGGAUAGGAGCUCCUGCUGCAUGGUGGGGGUUGGAAAGUUUCGGCGGUUGGGGAUGGACUCGCGGCUUAUCAGCUUGUUGGUGGGGUAGUGGCUUACCAAGGCUUUGACGGGUAGCCGGCCUGAGAGGGUGACCGGCCACAUUGGGACUGAGAUACGGCCCAGACUCCUACGGGAGGCAGCAGUGGGGAAUAUUGCACAAUGGGCGGAAGCCUGAUGCAGCAACGCCGCGUGCGGGAUGACGGCCUUCGGGUUGUAAACCGCUUUCGCCUGUGACGAAGCGUGAGUGACGGUAAUGGGUAAAGAAGCACCGGCUAACUACGUGCCAGCAGCCGCGGUGAUACGUAGGGUGCGAGCGUUGUCCGGAUUUAUUGGGCGUAAAGGGCUCGUAGGUGGUUGAUCGCGUCGGAAGUGUAAUCUUGGGGCUUAACCCUGAGCGUGCUUUCGAUACGGGUUGACUUGAGGAAGGUAGGGGAGAAUGGAAUUCCUGGUGGAGCGGUGGAAUGCGCAGAUAUCAGGAGGAACACCAGUGGCGAAGGCGGUUCUCUGGGCCUUUCCUGACGCUGAGGAGCGAAAGCGUGGGGAGCGAACAGGCUUAGAUACCCUGGUAGUCCACGCUGUAAACGGUGGGUACUAGGUGUGGGGUCCAUUCCACGGGUUCCGUGCCGUAGCUAACGCUUUAAGUACCCCGCCUGGGGAGUACGGCCGCAAGGCUAAAACUCAAAGGAAUUGACGGGGCCCCGCACAAGCGGCGGAGCAUGCGGAUUAAUUCGAUGCAACGCGUAGAACCUUACCUGGGUUUGACAUGGAUCGGGAGUGCUCAGAGAUGGGUGUGCCUCUUUUGGGGUCGGUUCACAGGUGGUGCAUGGCUGUCGUCAGCUCGUGUCGUGAGAUGUUGGGUUAAGUCCCGCAACGAGCGCAACCCUUGUUCACUGUUGCCAGCACGUUAUGGUGGGGACUCAGUGGAGACCGCCGGGGUCAACUCGGAGGAAGGUGGGGAUGACGUCAAGUCAUCAUGCCCCUUAUGUCCAGGGUUUCACGCAUGCUACAAUGGCUGGUACAGAGAGUGGCGAGCCUGCGAGGGUGAGCGAAUCUCGGAAAGCCGGUCUCAGUUCGGAUUGGGGUCUGCAACUCGACCUCAUGAAGUCGGAGUCGCUAGUAAUCGCAGAUCAGCAACGCUGCGGUGAAUACGUUCCCGGG